CCUACGGGUGGCUGCAGUGGGGAAUAUUGGACAAUGGGGGCAACCCUGAUCCAGCCAUGCCGCGUGUGUGAAGAAGGCCCUCGGGUUGUAAAGCACUUUCAGUGAGGAAGAACGCCUGGUGGUUAAUACCCAUCAGGAAAGACAUCACUCACAGAAGAAGCACCGGCUAACUCCGUGCCAGCAGCCGCGGUAAUACGGAGGGUGCGAGCGUUAAUCGGAAUUACUGGGCGUAAAGCGCGCGUAGGUGGCUUGAUAAGCCGGUUGUGAAAGCCCCGGGCUCAACCUGGGAACGGCAUCCGGAACUGUCAAGCUAGAGUGCAGGAGAGGAAGGUAGAAUUCCCGGUGUAGCGGUGAAAUGCGUAGAGAUCGGGAGGAAUACCGGUGGCGAAGGCGGCCUUCUGGACUGAGACUGACACUGAGGUGCGAAAGCGUGGGUAGCAAACAGGAUUAGAUACCCUGGUAGUC
rnacentral:rRNA from 1 species